rnacentral:lncRNA from 1 species
AGUGGUUUAAGCGUCUUAGAACAUAAAGUUCAACCUUACAAUAUCAAAUCCAUUAUUCAAAACAAGAAAUAACUUUAAAACAUGAUAAAUUCCCCAUAGCAAAUUCCCAAAUCUCUCAUCGUGCUACUCCAGCCUUGCAUUAUCUACAACACCAUCUACUCCCGUACAAGUAUGAUCAUUGCAGGUGGAACCACAACCACAAAAGGAAAGGGUGAGUAACUAAGGACAUAACAUAGCAUAUAAUUUCAAAGACAACAUCAUAACAUAGACUAAAAUAGUCAUCACAUCACAACACAUCUCAGUAUUCAACUCAUAACUUAAAUCAUCACCACCCAGACUAUCAUA